rnacentral:rRNA from 1 species
UACGUAGGUGGCAAGCGUUGUCCGGAUUUAUUGGGUUUAAAGGGUGCGUAGGCGGUCCUAUAAGUCAGUGCUGAAAUAUCCCGGCUUAACCGGGAGGGUGGCAUUGAUACUGUAGGACUUGAGUAAAGUUGAGGUUGGCGGAAUUGACGGUGUAGCGGUGAAAUGCUUAGAUAUCGUCAAGAACACCGAUAGCGAAGGCAGCUUACUGGGCUGUAACUGACGCUGAGGCACGAAAGUGUGGGGAUCAAACAGG